UAUUCAUUUGACGUUAGCUGCAGAAGAAGCACCGGCUAACUCCGUGCCAGCAGCCGCGGUAAUACGGAGGGUGCGAGCGUUAAUCGGAAUUACUGGGCGUAAAGCGCAUGCAGGUGGUUUGUUAAGUCAGAUGUGAAAGCCCGGGGCUCAACCUCGGAAUUGCAUUUGAAACUGGCAAACUAGAGUACUGUAGAGGGGGUAGAAUUUCAGGUGUAGCGGUGAAAAUGCGUAGAGAUCUGAAGGAAUACCGGUGGCGAAGGCGGCCCCCUGGACAGAUACUGACACUCAGAUGCGAAAGCGUGGGGAGCAAACAGGAUUAGAUACCCUGGUAG
rnacentral:rRNA from 1 species